GAUGAACGCUGGCGGCGUGCCUAAUACAUGCGAGUCGAGCGAACAGACGAGGAGCUUGCUCCUCUGACGUUAGCGGCGGACGGGUGAGUAACACGUGGAUAACCUACCUAUAAGACUGGGAUAACUUCGGGAAACCGGAGCUAAUACCGGAUAAUAUAUUGAACCGCAUGGUUCAAUAGUGAAAGGCGGUUUUGCUGUCACUUAUAGAUGGAUCCGCGCCGCAUUAGCUAGUUGGUAAGGUAACGGCUUACCAAGGCGCCGAUGCGUAGCCGACCUGAGAGGGUGAUCGGCCACACUGGAACUGAGACACGGUCCAGACUCCUACGGGAGGCAGCAGUAGGGAAUCUUCCGCAAUGGGCGAAAGCUUGACGGAGCAACGCCGCGUGAGUGAUGAAGGUCUUCGGAUCGUAAAACUCUGUUAUUAGGGAAGAACAAAUGUGUAAGUAACUAUGCACGUCUUGACGGUACCUAAUCAGAAAGCCACGGCUAACUACGUG
rnacentral:rRNA from 1 species